UAUUAUGCAAUUGCGUUCACAGGUGCUAGACAGGAAGGUCUACACAGAAGUAAGUCAAUCUCGAUUAUCUCUUUAUGGUGGAAUUGCAGCAGUGGAGAGGUGAUAAAAAUACUCAUUGGGCCAAAAUUCAUCUUAAAAGUUAACAGGUGAGGCGAAAAUUGUCCAAGCUAUAUAGGAAGAUUAAAGAUCUCAAAUUUCUUCAAUAGGGAACAACUCAACAAAAAGGUAAUCAAGCUAAACUUCAUUUGUUAAAUAUAUAUAUAUAUAUAUAUAUAUAUAUAUAUAUAAACAAAAUUCUUAAUUUUGCAAUUAUUAUUGCCAGUGGCGGAUCCAACAUAAUAUUACCAGGUCAACUGAAUCCAAUAUUUUCGGAUCGAAGCAUAAAUUUAUGUGAAAAAAUUACUAUCAUACUAUAUUAUAAGUAUGAAGAUUUUAGAUAAAGCUAUUUUUACUGAAAUACCCUUAAAAACUAAGUGACCUUUAUACCCUUCAAGCAUAUACUAUACUUGUAAUAUUUUUGGACAAAAAGUGUAAUCUACAUUUAUAUACACUAAGCUUUUGCUUUUCCUUAGUACCCAGAUCCAAAAGGUGAAAGAGUUUUUUUUAUACUAUUUAUCUAUAUCAUUUAUUUUUUCAAUUUACUAUUAUUUUUUGAGAUGUAACCAUUCUUUUUUCCUUCGUUUUAUUUAAUCUGGUGUGCAUAUAAUUGAAGUUUAUUAUUCUUCCUUUUCUUUUCUUUUUUUCAUUCUUAGGGUGUAGUAGUAACUCUCAAAUUAUAUGUACUUUCGCUUACAUUAUACAACUAAUUUGUUUUGAAUUUCAUCUUCUCAACUUUUUAGGAUAUUUCAAUCAUUAUGGAUGCAAGAAUUUGGUCAUCUAAAUAGCAUAUAAUCUCUCACUCUACCGAAUUUUAAUUAUUUUUUAAAUAUAUUUUCACUUUCUUUUAGUUAGUUCCAACAAGAAUAAAUCAUUUCUAUAGUAAAAAUUCAAUUUUACUUUUUUUCCUUUUUACCGUUGAUGAGAUGAUUUAUAGUCACGUGCAUUUUGAUGAUUUGUUUAAAUUACAAAUUUUAAAAGUCUUUUCUUAAAUUUUGUGCUCGGUUAAAUACCUUCAAAUAAAUAGGAACAGAAGCUCUUACUAAUUCGAUUUAAAUCAUUUUGAAGUGAGAAUUUAAACAUCUAAAUAGCAUAGGUUCGCUUUAACUUUUUAUAAGUACUUUAUUUCGUAUAAGAAGAAAAUAGAUAUAUAUUCAUCAGCUAAGAAAAUUCACAUAUUUCAAUUCUGUAACUCAAACACAUCGUCUAAUGUAAUUUUUUAUACGCAUAAGCUAAUAUGCGCACAUGCGUAACGUACGUGACCAUGGACUAAUAAUUAUAAUAAAUACUUGGUUUGAACCCAUAAAUUUAAGAAUAUAACGAGUUCAAUUUCAGGAAUUUUAACGAUUAAACCCAUAAAAUUUAAAUCCUAAAUCCGACUCAGCUACAUAUCACGAAUUAUAAGAGGAAAUCAUGCACCGAUUGGGAUUCCUUCCUUUAAAUCAUUUUGGAAGCUGAGAGGUAUAGAAUAAUCCAAACGGCAUAUACUUUUCUACUUUUAAACGUAACAUUAGAUGUAUUAAAUUUUAAGCUUUUUCGCAAAAUAUAUUUGUAAAAUAAUUUUGGAAAAGAUAAAAUAACAUAUAAAUAGAAAUGUAAAAGAAACGGAAUUUAAUCUGAGCCCAAUGAAUUCACAGUGUUUCCUUAAGGAACUUAAUUCCCUCUUAUUACUCGAGGUUGUGCAUUACUUCCUCCCAGAAUAGAACGAAUUACACACUGGUGUAGCGGUACUUCAAACCCCAGUAUUUCCAUUGAACCGCUGCUUGCUUGGGUUGCUUUUUAGUCCAGAAGCCUUCUUCCUCUUUCUAUUAUUUUGAGGAGCAUCCUCAACAAUGUUUGCUCCCAUUAUUGUUGAGUUUCCACGACCUUUCUUUUCAGCAACUUUUUUGUCAUCUUCGAUUCUCAACCGAAAAAGCACUCAUUGUAUUUGUUUUUCAAGUAGUUUUUGAAGUCCUUCUACAUAGGAGUCAACUUCUCAAUCAUCGAUGCAACUUGAAACGCUUCAUUGAUGACAAGACCUUCAACGAAAAUUCUGUUAGUGAAAAUUAUAUAACUAAUACUUUCAACAUCAGUAUUAAUUUGACUUAUUCCUUCAGCAAGGAGUUCGUGAAUAAUCACUUGUACUUCCUGGACUUGGGUAAUAACAGACUUUCUAUGUACCAUUUUGUAAUUCAAAAAUUUAGCGGCAAGAAUUUCUUCAACCCGGCAUCUUCAGUUUUGUAUUUCUUUUCAAGCGCAAUCCACAAUUCUUUUGACGUCUCCACAUUACUAUGGACGUUAUACAGAUCUUCCUCCAAUCCACUAAGAAUAUAAUUCUUGCAUAAAAAAUCAGAAUGUUUUCACGCCUCAGUCACGAGAAAUCGUUCAUAGUCUGGAGUUUCGUCGGAUAGAAUAGGAACAUCUUCCUUAAUGAACUUCUGUAGACUUAAAGUCUCCAAGUAGAAGAACAUCUUUUGCUGCCACCGCUUGAAAUCAAUCCCUGAAACUUUUUUAGGUUUUUCUGUCGGUGCCAAUGUUGGUGUUGUUCGGUUUGUCGAUGCAUUGGUAGUCACCAUAGGAAUAGCUUGGUUUCUGUUGUCAUUCGUCAUUUCUAUAAAAAAAAGUGACACAAACAAAUGUGAAAAUCACGUAGGUUUUAAUCUUCAAUGGAGUAAAAAAUCACCACGAAAGACUUUAAUCUCCAAAAUGGAAGUAGAAAACCACAAAGGUUUUAGUCUCUAGAAUAACGAGUAUAACACAAAUAAAGAAAAUAAUCAAUUAAGUUCCUUAAUAUUGUUAAUAAACUGUAUUUAUAAAAUAAACUUGGAGAAGAUAAAAUAACAUAUAAACACAAACAUAAAAAAAUAGAAUUUAAUUCGAGCCAACUGAAUUCACAGUGUUUCUUUAAGGAAAUUAAUCCCCUCCUAGUACCCGAGAUUGUGGAUUAUUUUCUCAUAGGAUAGAACGAAUUAUACACAAGCGUAGGAAAUUACAAUUAUUGUUGCCUUCUUUGUAGUUAAAAUAAUGAAAAAGAAAAGAGGGGAAUUCAGAAUUUCGUACGGAAAAUCUGAGAGAAUGAACAACUAUUUAAAGCCAACAUGGUGAGUUCAAACACAAAGAGGUGCAACUCUUCAGAGGUCAGUUAUGACUUUUUAGGUAAAAUAGCCAUAACUUAAAUGGUCAUUUACGGAAAAAAAACAGCCAGAGGAAACUUUAUUCUCUGUUACUAAAAACGGACAAGUAGAAAAAAACUUUAUUUUUCGUUAAAAAGGGAUAAUUUGAAUUUAAUAUAAAUUUUCUAUUAUAAUGAAUAUUUAAUAAUAUUACUUUAAUAUUUACUAUUAACAAAUAAGUUUGGUCCAAAAAAUUAAUCAAUCAAUCGAUCAUUUGACCAAAUCUGAAGCCUAAGUCGAAACCGAGCCGAGCGAGGGCGACGACGACGAUGGUGCGAGGCUUGCCUUCUUCUUAACUCUAUAAGAUUUAUAAGAAGAUCAAUAGUAUAAUUACCCAUCAAAAGUAUUUUCCUUCUUAAAUAUAGGACAAUGUUUUUUUGUCAAGGAGGAAAACUCAAAUAUUUCAUUUUCCCUCCAUUUUCCAUUCACCUUGUUUUAAGCAAAAAUAAACUUUAAAACUCAACAAUCCCCCACAUGAAUGAGGAAUGACUAUAAUAUAGAAAUAUACAUGAAAAAACUGUGUGAUUCGCAAGUAAGAAUUAAUCGUAUCUGGAUAAGUAGGUUUCCCUUUGAACUUUCCGUAGUGAACUUAUGUCGGAUAUACUCGAUCAAUCUGUAGAUUUGAUAUCCUUAAACCGUAGAACUUAGGUGUAAACCUAAGCAACCCUAAAUCACACAAUCAACCCUUAACCGUCUUCGGUUCUCAUUGUUGUGUUCGUUUCAGCCAUGAGCACCGCCUGAUUUUAUAAAUGUGUAGAGAACCAACCUUACAAAGUUCUCCUUGAAGCGGCUAACACUUCACACUUAGAUAGGUAAUUCCUAAAUGUGUGAUCCCGUAGAUACACUAUUUGAUAUACCUUGUAUCAAAUUUAAAAAUUAUUAAAAACCUAAUAUUUUAUCCUUGGUACUAACAUUGUAUCAUCAUAAGAAUGGACCAAAAUUUUAGUUGACAAUGUUGAAUCGACAUUAAUAACUUAAACCUAGAUUUUGGGAUCUCCAGUCUUCUAGGUAGAAUUACCGCCAUAAUGACUUGUUCUCGGCCAUAGUCCCAUUCUCCUCGAUGAUUUCUCAAUUACCUCUCUAGUUAGGCUUUUUGUAGGUGGAUCCAACAUAUUAUCCCUUGACUUUACGAAGUCAAUCGUGAUAAUUCUUCUAAAGAGUAAAUUCUUAACGGUUUUAUGUCUUCUUUGUAUAUGACGAGAUUUACCGUUUUACAUAACGCUCCAAUCCCUUAAAAUUGCCGAUUGACUAUCGCAAUGUAUGCAUAUUGGUGCCAACGGUUUGGGCCAAAAUGGAAUGUAUUCCAAGAAAUUAUGGAGUCGUUCAGCUUCUUCACCGGCUUUAUCUAAGGUUAUGAACUCAGCCUCCAUUAUAGAGCGAGCAAUAUAAGUUUGUUUGUACGAUUUCCAAGAUACCGCUCCUCUACAUAUCCACUUGUGGACUUAGAAUCAAUUGUACCGGUGAUUCAAUUUGCAUCGCAGUAUUACUCAUCAUAGUGGGAUAUUUACUAUAAUACAAAGCAAAGUCUUGUAUAUGUUUUAAAUAUCCCAAAAACCAUUUUGUUGUCAUUGAUCACGCUCAACUGAGUCUCACAAAAGACUAAGCGGGCGUUGCAAAUAUAAUCUAAGUAUUAUUUCCUAGAGUCGAACCACGGGGAAUUAACCUAUCAAUUACAACAGUCAGAUUCACUAAAUUCACAUAAUCUAUUUUCCCAAACUUUCUGAUUCACAAUGGUUGAUUUUCUAACAACUAAAGACUAAAAGUAAUAAACAGCUGAAAAUUAACUAAACUUGAUUUGUAAGCAGUUGGAAUAAGGUCUAAGGCAAUGGUUUCCCGCGUUGGUAAUUUCUUUGGCAGUAUAUGUCAUAUAACGAUGAUUUAGUUGUCUCUAUCAAUCAUGAACGCUCAAGCUAUCAUAAUUCUUUCUCAAGUAACUAUGAUAAUCUACUAGAUGCACUCUCUCAAGCUACACUAGCUAAGUUCAAUAUACAGUUCACUUAGAUUGCACCCGGAGUUUCGUUAUCUCUAAUCCAACCCCUAAACUCUCAGCUAUGACUCUUGUCUAUACUCCAAGAGUGAUGUUGUUCAUACAAUUACCUAAAUAUGCACUCUCUCUCAAGUACAUACAUAAUAAAUAUGAACGGAUAAUUGAGGGCCCUUUCAACUAAUCCACAAUCAAACCGUAGAAUAACAACCAAACCCAAUUAUAUUAAUAGAACAACCAAGUCAUCCCCAACGGGUUCCACUAAAACCUUAGAUUAAGGUUUUUAGCUACUCAUAACAAUGGGUACAUAAAAUACGAAAAGAUUCAUAAUCAUAAAUUGAAACAAAAAUAAAGAAGAAUAAGAACAAUGAGAUUCUAGGUGAUCUCUCACACUUGUUUUCCUUGCUAAAGUACUCUCUAAAACAUUACAUGCCUCAUUUGGGCGAGUUCGAUUGUUUAAAAUAGGGCUUGGGCUAAAAAUCUCGUAUUUUGCACUUCAGUCCCGCAAGUUUACGCCUCCUACCAUGGUCCUACCGCGGUUACGCCAGGACCGCGGCCAAAUCAUCUCUCAGGAUCUGAAAUAGCUUCCUGCCGUGGUCUGACCGCGGUUACGUCAGGACUGCGGCAGUCCAUCUCCAGGUCUGGUUUGUGCAUUUCUCAUGGUGCACUUGGCGGAUAUUGUGCGAUUGGCCUCUUUAUCCUCCAUAAUUGAUCCCAAAAAUAUUCCAUAGCCUUCUUUUACUGUAUGUAACCUCUAACUUAUGAAAAGCACUAAUCAGAGCAUUUUGUUAUCACUUUUACCAUAAAAACUAUACAGGAAAGUGGUUUUUUAUGGCCUGAUUAUAGUUCAAUUCACCUAUUAUCAAUAUUCCACACUUAAAUCUUUGCUCGUCCUCGAGAAAGUUGAACCACACUUCUAGGCCAAAUCGUUUGAUGCAUUACCCAUUUUUAUGUCACACCCGCCAUUAUGAAAGAACAACCUAAGCAGUGCAACAACCACACCUCAGAUGAAGACUCUAAUGCCAUGCCACACUCGUGCUUACUCUAUGUACUCUAAACAGAGGUAAAAACUUGCUUUUUCUUCCUGAGUCACAUGCCCUCACAUCACAUUUUUUAGAGAAGUUACACACAAAUAAAAUUUCAUGCCACACUCGUGCUUACUCUAGUUACUCUAAACAGAGGUGAAAACUUGCCUUUUCUUCUCGAGUCACAUGCCCUCACAUCACAUUUUUUUAGAGAAGUUCCGCACAUAUAAAAUCAAGCACAAGGAACUAUGGAUAGAAAUAAUUCACUCGCUCUCAGCAAAGACUAUUCACAUGCCACACAUAUACACCAUAAGCUUUCCCUUAGUGUAAUACUCUACUAAUCUAGUUGUUUUAGUGUAAGAUCAAGAGGUCUUUAUUUGGUUGUAAUGUAGGCUAAGGGACGGGUAGGAUAUAUUUGGAUAUAGUGACUAACCUCCAUAAACACUUUUAAUACAUUUGUUCCUUUAUUUUGAGUUCCAUGUUCAGCCCCGUCAUUCUUCCAUACAUGUUUCAUAAGCUACCCCCACUUUCCUAGGUGCAACUGUUUUUUUUUUUGCAAUUCACUAUUUUAGGACCACCUAUUUACAAGGUCCUUCUUUUAUAUUCCAAUAUAUAUAUAUAUAUAUUCAAGUAUUUUCCUGAUUUCCAUUACCUACUCCCUUAUCACCUCACACUUUGACUUUUACAUGAUCUUUAACAAUUUAAGUGCUUCUAGGAGGCAAAGGGUCAAACAGUCAAGCUAUUCAACACAUGGAUGUAGGUUAUUGCAAGGUUAUCAAAGAAACAGGCUUUAGGCUCAAAGAGGUUAACUAUGACAAUAUGUACAGGUGGAUUCAUAAUUAUACAUGCUUCAUAAGGAAAUGCCUCAAUCAUCUCUAAAACCAAACAAGGGUUAACUAUGGUGAUGCGUACAGGUGAAUUCAUAAUUAGACCGGCUACACAAAGAAAUGCCUCAAUCAUCUCUAAGACCAAACAACUUCUAUUUCUUUUUGCAAACACACCGGCAUGUUCUAGGUAUCGCAUGCAAGCAUAAAAUACAUGUAUUAACUCACACACACUUGGCAUGUAACUCAUUUCGAAUUAGUUUGUCCACACACUCACACGAGUGUUCAAGCAAGACAAGGUGUGCAACAUUAAGGCAUAAAUUAUGAGUCUAAAAAUGAGCUUAGAUGUCGCACCCUCAAAUUCGUUUUAGUUAUUUGCAGGUGUGUACAUUAGGUGUUGCAUUCUUGUCCUCACCUAUCUUAGUCCAAGAGAGUUCUAAGGGUCCUAUAAAUAUUAAAGAAAAAUCUACCUAACCUGGUUCAACAAAAAUCCCUUGGAAAAGAAUCGUGGUAUAAGAAAAAUCAAGGGGGGGAAGUACUACACUACCUAAAAAAAUAAAAAUCUAAAUGGACUACUUCCCUCAUGAGUACUGUCCAAGUGGUCCAUCCUCAGGAAGAGUCCCCUACCUUUUCUAAUUUUUUUAAAUUUGACUUUGACCCUCAAGAGACCCAUCGACAAGUGUCCAUCGUUAGGCCAAGUCAGUUACUUGUAAGAUGAGUACAAUCAAUUAUACACAACAACAAAGAUACAGAACUACAACAUGCUCAAUGUAUAUGUACACUAACAAUACACCACUAAAGCAAGUCUCCCACCCCACAUAAAAUGACUAUGGCAUGUACCCAUGUCAUAUUACAAAUAAAGUGCAGAAGGGUAAGAAUACUUCCCUAAGCAUCAGUCAGAGUCAGAGACGGUGCUGGGGUCCACAUGACAAGCCCUCCCUAAAGCACGAAACCAAGCCAUCAUCCGGCUCCCAGACAUGGCAUGUCGCUGAGACAUGGCAUCCAUACGCACAUGUAGGCCAUCCACCGAGGUGCGAAGAUCUUCCACUUCUUCCUUCAUAGAACGAAACAUGGGCCGGCUGGAUUGUGAUCUAGAGAACCCUGCCCCAUUAUGGGGUCGGCGAGAGGAUCCAGGUUCAUCAUAGGAUCUCCUGGAUGGUGCCAUGGGUGUUGUGGCAGCAUCUUCAUCAUCAAGCUCAAUUGUUGUGGGUGCAUCUCUGCACAUUGUGAUCUUGGAAGCUCUGAAUGUUGUUUUUGCGGGCAAAGCUCUAUCUGUAGGACUGGUGGGGACACCUUUUAGCAGACACAACCUCAUUACAGGUGAGGGGAAGUAAAACCCCUUAGAUAACUGAGGUGACUGAAGUAUUAUUUUCAUCUCCAAUAAGUCUCACCACAUCAAAGUCCCUCUUAUUGACGAAGCACCAUACCAAUAGAGCCCAAAGUUGGUUCACAUCUAUCGUGUUGGUCGUGGGCAGUAACCAGCUGCAAAUUAUGGUGAACCACCACUUGGCGUCAUGUGUGAAUGACUUGGAGUGAAGGGUAAUGUUUUCAUGUGCUACACUGGUUGACUCCCUGUGCAGAUGGACUCAAUCAUAGUGUCCCAAGUGACCCCUUGGGCAUCAUGGUAAUGAUCAAUGUCACCAGUGAACUGGUGAAACUGCAAGACCUGGCGAAUCUUCUAAGUUGAGGCAUCUACCACCCUGCCCUGCACAAUCACAUCCUGGCACACAUGUUCUAGGCAGUUCACAUAGAACUCCCGGACUAUCAUUGGUUUUGCCGUCUCAGGUUCAUCAAACAAGAACUUCAUCUCCCUCCAUCUAAUUUCCUCAUACAUGUCUACACUUUCUACAUGAAGAGCAACCCUGUCAACAGGAAUCUCAAGGACAAAGGUUUUGGUGGCCUUAGCAUGAAAUGCGUCCUCUGCCUCCGGUGACUGGAACCUGGUAGUGUCAUAUGUUGGCACUUGCGAAUUUCUUGCUGAGCUCUUUCCCCUUUUACGGGACAUAAUACCUGCAAACAAUUCAGGGCAACAAUUAGAUACAUCCUAACAUGUGCCAUUUGGAUGGGUACUCAGACUUUGCCACCCGAUGGCACCAAACAGUUUCCUUUAGUCAAUCAAUGUUGGUAUACCCAACUAGUAAGUUGCCAAAACUUACCAACCUCCACUAUUGCCUCACACCACUUUUACGUUUUUAACUCCUCCAAAUAAUACCCCACACAAUCUCAACCAAGUGAAUCAUUGCAAUUACUACCACCAUCACAAAAUAAGAAGGGCACAAAGUGCUCAAAAAUUCCAUAAUACACCCCAAUUUUUUGCCAUUUAAGCCCCUCCACCAAGCUUCACCGUAAAAAAUUUAUUUAGGCCUCCAAACAUUCUAAAACUCCCCCACAAGUUAAGCAAAAUGAAAAUCCAACUAUUUAAGCAUCAAUCAUGGAAAAAAGAAGUAAAAAUGGAGAAAAAGAAAGAAAAAAUAAAACGUGUGCACUAAAACACUACCUAGGGCUUAAUUGAAACUAAAUUACAGUAAGUUAUGUGAAGAAAAGAGAAGAGAAUAGAGAAUCAUACCUUGAGGAAUAAUGGAAGGGUAGGUUAUGGGUGUGGAAAGUGAGUGGAAGAAGAAGAAAGUGGGGGGGGGGGGGGGUUUUGGGGUUUUAGGGUUUUUUUNNNNNNNNNNNNNNNNNNNNNNNNNNNNNNNNNNNNNNNNNNNNNNNNNNNNNNNNNNNNNNNNNNNNNNNNNNNNNNNNNNNNNNNNNNNNNNNNNNNNNNNNNNNNNNNNNNNNNNNNNNNNNNNNNNNNNNNNNNNNNGGGGGGGGGGGGGAUUUGGGGAUUUAAGGUUUUUUUUGUGAGGAAGAUGAAAGAGGAGGGGAAGGGCUUGUGUUUUUUGUCUGAUUUGAUCUGGAGUAAACGAAGGGGGGUAGGUUAAUUAAGAAGUGGGAAGGGGAAAAUAAAAAGAAAAACAAUUCAGAACUUACUUAGCCUGGGCCCAAUCUGGGCUGUCACGAUCCUACUGCGAUUACGCUGGGACAGCGGUAGACCUCUUUCAGAGGGGGUGUUUGACCACGUUCCUACCACGGUUACGCUGGGACUGCGGUAGACCUCUUUCAGAGGGGGUGCUGGACCACGGUCCUACCGCGGUUACACUAGGACAGCGGUAGAACACUUUCAGAGGGGGUCUCUGAUCGCGGUCCGACCGCUAUUAUGCAGGGACCGCGGUCUAGACGUGUUCCUGCUGCUUUUAUUUCAUGAAGUUAUGCAUUACACUUACAAUAAAUUCGUGGGUUGCCUCCCACGCAGCGUCUGAUUUAACAUCUUGGCACGACGCAAGUAGUUGAGCUCUAACUCCUCAGUCUCGUAUUGGGGUUCUUUUAAAUUGGUCACCAUUGUAUCCCCUUUUUAUUUAGCUAUUCCAAGGUAAUAUUUCAACCUUUGUCCAUUGACACAGAACUUGUUUGUCCCGUCUUCCGACUUAAUCUCAACAGCUCCACUUGCAAACAUUUGCACCACUCUAUAUGGCCUAGACCAUCGGGACUUUCACUUACCCGGAAUCAAUCUCAACCAUGAAUUAUAUAAUAGUACCAUGUCACCAUGUUUAAAGUCUCUGUCGUCGAUGUGCUUGUAAUGCAUUUUCUUCAUCCUUUCCUUGUAGAGCCUUGUGAUUUUAAGUCUUGAUAUCUAAAUUCUUCCAGCUCAUCCAACUUUGUCAGUCGAUUUUGUCCAGCUGUUUCAGGAUCCAUGUUCAAUUGCUUCACUGCCUACCAAGCUUGAUGUUCUAGCUCCACAUGCAGGUGACAGGCCUUCCCAAAAUACCAACUUGUAUGGUGACAUACCUAUUGGUGUUUUGAACGCAGUUCUAUAGGCAUAGAGUGCAUCAUAAAGCUUCUUUGCCUAAUCAGUUCGAGUGGCAUUCACCAUCUUCGUUAGUACAUUCUUUAUCUCCCUGUUGGACACUUCAACCUGCCCACUGGUCUGCGGAUGGUAAGGAGUAGCCACCUUGUGGGGCAUAUCAUACUUAGCAAGUAAUUUCUUGAAGGAUCUAUCGCAGAAGUGAGUGCCUCUGUCAUUGAUGAUCUCUCUGGGUGUCCUAAACCGGGUGAAUAUGCUUUUUUUCAGAAAUCCGACCACCACUCUUACAUCAUUGGUGGGCAAGUGAUGUUUAGCUCAAAGUAUAUAUAUUUUUAUGUAUAUCACCUCAUAUUUUUUCUCUUGUUUCGUGAUUUUGGAAUGUUAAAUGCUACGAAUUAUAUUAAUUUUAAGUAUUUUUACUUGAAGAAAUGAUUCAGAUAUUUUUUCUCUUGUUUCGUGAGUUUGUAAUGUUAAAUGCUAUAAAUUAUAUUAAUUUGAAGUAUUUUUAAUUGUAGGAAUGAUUCGGGAGCAAGUGGGGGAAAGCGUGCAAGAAUUAAAGCUAAGACGGACAAAAUCGAGAAAGAAUCCAGUUUGGGCGCCACAUGCAGUUCCUGGCACCACCUGUGGCGCUGGAGACAGAAUGCCCAUUUUUAGGGUGCCUGGCGCCGGGGUGGGUGCCGAUUACGGUUAGUAGGCCUAUUUGACCCGAGAUUCGUUUUAUUUGACCCAAAACCCGACCCAACACGUUAUAAAACCAUCUUAAAGCCUAUUUUGAGGGGAUAUACAGAUCUGGGAGCAAGGAGACAUGCGAGAAUCAUUGAGGAGUGAAGAUCAACUCAGAUUUCUUCAUCUUUUCUAGUAUUUUUAAUUAAUCCAAACUUAUAAAUUUAUUUGAUUACAUCAUGAGUGGCUAAAACACCCAUUGUUCUGGGGUUGUGAUUUAGCCAUGAAUAUUGUUGUUUGAUAUUAGCUUGACCUUGAUUAUAUUUCAUUCAUAUAUGGUUGUUUCUUUAAUUCUGUAUUUAAUUGUUUAAUUGUCUGGCCAGCAGUUAGGU
rnacentral:lncRNA from 1 species